AUGGAUGCUACCACCGGCACCGAUCAAACCGAUAAAAUCUAUUGGCAAAGGAUCGAGGACGUCUAUUGUAGGAUCAAGCCGAAGACUAGUGGGUUCAUCCAUCGCACAUUCCGGUCGCUUCAAGGACGGUGGGAGUUGAUCAAGCCCGCUUGUUCUUGUUGGAGUGCGGCCAUGGACCAAGUGAGGGAUGCACCACCUAGUGGAACCGUGGAGAGUGACUAUGAGACAAUUGCCGGCUUGAGGUACAAGAAGAUGGCCGCUUCCAAGGGCAAGCCAUUCCCAUUUAAGCAUGUUUGGUCAAUUCUUCAAACCUUUGACAAGUGGAAGUUGAGGGAUCAAGAGACCGCACCCAAGAAGUCGGCAAUGCUAAGGAUGGACGAUAGUGAAGAUGAGGAGGAGAGGAACGUGGGCAAGCCCGAGAGAAACAAGAAGGGCAAGCUAAGGGUGAAGAUGGAAGAAGAGGCGUCAAGCCUAAGGGAGAAGAUGGACCACAUGAUAAAGCCAAGAGAGGAAUUGACAAUAAAGACAUUGGAGAUGAAGCUUCUUAUCACCGAGAAGAAGAAAGAGGUCAAGCUUGCACAAGUUGAAGCAAAACGUGCAGAAGCAAAGCGCAAGGCCGAGUUGGAGGAGAGGAUGAUCAAGCUCAAAGAGGCAAAGGUAUGGAAAGAACUCAUGGUGGAAGAGAAAGAGCACAUGAUGAUGUCCAAGAAGGACAUGGAUCAAGACCAAUUGCAAUGGUGGAAGGACUACAAGGAGGACAUCACGGAGAGGAAGAGGAUGUUUCGUGUUGCGUCCUCUACUUUUCGAGGUGACACUCCGAUGAGUAGUUGUGGUGAUGGCGGUGUGUACGACUCCACCGGUGCCGAUGGAGAUGCUUGA
rnacentral:rRNA from 1 species